ensembl:lncRNA
ACAAUACAGUUAAAAAAUAUAUAUAGAAAAGAAUAAGAAAUGAAAGUAACAAGUAAUUAAAGAGCAGCAGUAAAAUAACAAUAGAGAGACUAUAUACAGGGGGUACCGAUACUGAGUCAAUGUGGAGGCUAUAUACAGGGGGGUACCGAUACUGAGUCAAUGUGGAGGUUAUAUACAGGGGGGUACCGGUACUGAGUCAAUGUGGAGGUUAUAUACAGGGGGUACCGGUACUGAGUCAAUGUGGAGACUAUAUACAGGGGGUACCGGUACUGAGUCAAUGUGGAGACUAUAUACAGGGGGUACCGAUACUGAGUCAAUGUGGAGGCUAUAUACAGGGGGUACCGAUACUGAGUCAAUGUGGAGGUUAUAUACAGGGGGGUACCGGUACUGAGUCAAUGUGGAGACUAUAUACAGGGGGGUACCGGUACUGAGUCAAUGUGGAGACUAUAUACAGGGUAUUACCGAUACUGAGUCAAUGUGGAGGCUAUAUACAGGGUGUUACGGUAGAGAAUCAAUGUGGAGGCUAUAUACAGGGUGUUACGGUACAGAGUCAAUGUGGAGACUAUAUACAGGGUGUUACGGUACAGAGUCAAUGUGGAGGCUAUAUACAGGGUGUUACGGUACAGAGUCAAUGUGGAGACUAUGUGGUCAUCCUGUCUGGGUUAGCGCCCCCCUUGGGUUGUGCCAUGGCAGAGAUCUUUGUGGGCUAUACUCAGCCUUGUCUCAGGAUGGUAAGUUGGUGGUUGAAGAUAUCACU